UGACCUGCGGAAGGAUCAUUACCGAGUGCAGGUCUGCCCCCGGGCAGGCCUAACCUCCCACCCGUGAAUACCUGACCAACGUUGCUUCGGCGGUGCGCCCCCCCCGGGGGUAGCCGCCGGAGACCACACCGAACCUCCUGUCUUUAGUGUUGUCUGAGCUUGAUAGCAAACCUAUUAAAACUUUCAACAAUGGAUCUCUUGGUUCCGGCAUCGAUGAAGAACGCAGCGAACUGCGAUAAGUAAUGUGAAUUGCAGAAUUCAGUGAAUCAUCGAGUCUUUGAACGCACAUUGCGCCCCCUGGCAUUCCGGGGGGCAUGCCUGUCCGAGCGUCAUUGCUGCCCUUCAAGCCCGGCUUGUGUGUUGGGUCGUCGUCCCCCCCGGGGGACGGGCCCGAAAGGCAGCGGCGGCACCGCGUCCGGUCCUCGAGCGUAUGGGGCUUUGUCACCCGCUCGAUUAGGGCCGGCCGGGCGCCAGCCGGCGUCUCCAACCUUCUAUUUUACCAGGUUGACCUCGGAUCAGGUAGGGAUACCCGCUGAACUUAAGCAUAUCAAUAAGCGGAGGAA
rnacentral:rRNA from 1 species